GAUCAUGGCUCAGGAUGGACGCUAGCUACAGGCUUAACACAUGCAAGUCGAGGGGGAACGACAUCGAAAGCUUGCUUUUGAUGGGCGUCGACCGGCGCACGGGUGAGUAACGCGUAUCCAACCUGCCUACCACUUGGGGAUAACCUUGCGAAAGUAAGACUAAUACCCAAUGACAUCCCACGAAGACAUCUGAAUGGGAUUAAAGAUUUAUCGGUGAUGGAUGGGGAUGCGUCUGAUUAG
rnacentral:rRNA from 1 species